rnacentral:rRNA from 1 species
AUUGAACGCUGGCGGCAGGCCUAACACAUGCAAGUCGAACGAGUGGCGGACGGGUGAGUAAUGUCUGGGACCCUGCCCGAUGGAGGGGGAUAACUACUGGAAACGUUAGCUACUACCGCAUACCAUCGGAUGUGCCCAGAUGUGAUUGGCUAGUAGGGGGGGUAACGGCUCACCUAGGCGACGCUCCCUAGCUGGUCUGAGAGGAUGACCAGCCAAACUGGAACUGAGACACGGUCCAGACUCCUACGGGAGGCAGCAGUGGGGAAUAUUGCAAAAUGGGCGCAAGCCUGAUGCAGCCAUGCCGCGUGUGGGAAGAAGGUCUUCGGGUUGUAAAGUACUUUCAGAGAGGAGGCGUUACUCGAAGAAUAAGCACCGGCUAACUCCGUGCCAGCAGCCGCGGUAAUUC